UCCACAUGUUACCUUGUAUCUGAACCUACCACCUAGUGGUAUAUUAGUUCAUAAUUGUUUGGACAAAUAAUCGACAGGAUAUGCUGAUGUUGACACGAAAGGUGGGGUCAUUCAGAUUAUAAAAAAACAUGUGGACACGUUACUCCAAUCUUACAUUUCAUCCUCACUCAGUUCAUCACGUUAAGUUUGUCUUAACAAACCAAUAUAACAUAUUUGGAUGUAUCCGUUUUCAACUCUCAAAGACUGUGGUGGAGAAUCCAAUAAUGCAGACCAUGGAUAUUGAUGACGACACGUCUCCCAACAAGCCCAGUGUUACAUUUUCAGCUAAUUUUCAGUGGUGGAAGAGACCCUCUGGAGUUGCUGCAGUGUGUCUUGGGCUGCUGUGUGUUCUUCUAUUGGCUGGGGAUCUUAGGCCUGUUUGUCUACUAUGGAGUCAUUGAUCAUCACUACUCAACAGAGAGAGACCAACAGACCAGUUACAGCCUUCUGACUAAAGAAGGAGAUCAGCAACCCAACAGCUAUCAUAACUUGACUAAAGAGGAAGACCAUCUACAGACCAGUUAUAACACCCUGACUAAAGAGAGAGACCAGUUUCAGAAAGAGAAAGACCAGAUACAGACUAGUUACAACACUCUGACUAAAGAGAGAGACCAGCUACAGAGAAGCUAUAACACCCUGACUAAAGAGAGAGACCAGCUACACACCAGUUACAACACCCCUGACUAAAGAGAGAGACCAGCUACAGAGCAGUUACAACACCCUGACUGAAGAGAGAGACCAGCUACAGAGCAGUUACAACAACCUGACUGAAGAGAGAGACCAGCUACAGAGCAGUUACAACAACCUGACUGAAGAGAGAGACCAGCUACAGAAUAGUCUCACAACCAAAAGUAAGGAGAAAUAUCAGUUGCAGAAUUCUCUCACCACACAAACACAGGAAAGUGAUCAAUUCAGAAUAGCCUGAACAAAAAAAACUAAGGAGAGAGACCAGCUACAGAAUAGUCUAAAUACCAGGACCACAGAGAGAGACCAGCACAGAAAAGUCUAAAUAACAGGACCACUGAGCGAGACCAGCUACAAAAUAGCCUAAAUACCAGGACUACAGAGAGAGACCAGCUACAAAAUAUUCUCAUCACAAGGACCAAAGACAGGGAUCAGCAGCAAAAUAGUCUUAAAGUUAUGACUGCUGAAAGAGAUCUAUUAAAGAAUAGUCUUAACUCAAGGACAAAAGAGAGAGACCAGUUGCAGAAUAGUCUAAAUACCAGGACCACAGAGAAAAACCAGCUACAGAAUAGUCUCACAACUAAAACUAAGGAGAGAGACCAGUUUGCAGAAUAGUCUAAUACCAGGACUGCAGAGAAAAACCAGCUACAGAAUAGUCUCACAACCAAAACCUAAGGAGAGAGACCAGUUGCAGAAUAGUCUAAAUACCAGGACUGCAGAGAAAAACCAGCUACAGAAUAGUCUCACAACCAAAACUAAGGAGAGAGACCAGUUGCAGAAUAAGCUCACCACAAUAACUCUGGAAAGAGACCAGUUACAGACCAGGCUUAAGUUCUAUGAGAAACCCUGUCUGGAUGGAUGGUGGAAGUUUGGCACCAGCUGUUAUUUUCUCUCCUCCACGAUGAAAGGAGCUGCGAGUGGUCAGAAGGAGUGCAGAACAAUCGGUGCUGACUUGGUUAUUAUAAACAGCAGAGAAGACAG